rnacentral:rRNA from 1 species
GGUGAACGCUGGCGGCGUGCCUAAUACAUGCAAGUCGAGCGAACGGACGAGAAGCUUGCUUCUCUGAUGUUAGCGGCGGACGGGUGAGUAACACGUGGAUAACCUACCUAUAAGACUGGGAUAACUUCGGGAAACCGGAGCUAAUACCGGCUAAUCUUUUGAACCGCAUGGUUCAACAGUGAAAGACGGUCUUGCUGUCACUUAUAGAUGGAUCCGCGCUGCAUUAGCUAGUUGGUAAGGUAACGGCUUACCAAGGCAACGAGGCAUAGCCGACCUGACAGGGUGAUCGGCCACACUGGAACUGAGACACGGUCCAGACUCCUACGGGAGGCAGCAGUAGGGAAUCUUACGCAAUGGGCGAAUGCCUGACGGAGCAACGCCGCGUGAGUGAUGAGGGUCUUCGGAUCGUAAAACUCUGUUAUUAGGGAAGAACGUAUGUGUAAGUGGCUGUGCACGUCUUGACGGUACCUGAUCAGAAAGCCACGGCUAACUACGUG